CACGCCGUAAACGGUGGGUACUAGGUGUGGGGGACAUUCCACGUUCUCCGUGCCGCAGCUAACGCAUUAAGUACCCCGCCUGGGGAGUACGGCCGCAAGGCUAAAACUCAAAGGAAUUGACGGGGCCCCGCACAAGCGGCGGAGCAUGCGGAUUAAUUCGAUGCAACGCGAAGAACCUUACCUGGGUUUGACAUAUGCCGGAAACAUCCAGAGAUGGAUGCCCCUUUUUGGUCGGUUUACAGGUGG
rnacentral:rRNA from 1 species